rnacentral:rRNA from 1 species
CCUACGGGAGGCAGCAGUGGGGAAUAUUGGACAAUGGGGGGAACCCUGAUCGAGCCAUGCCGCGUGUGUGAAGAAGGCCCUCGGGUUGUAAAGCACUUUCAGUGAGGAAGAACGCCUGGUGGUUAAUACCCAUCAGGAAAGACAUCACUCACAGAAGAAGCACCGGCUAACUCCGUGCCAGCAGCCGCGGUAAUACGGAGGGUGCAGCGUUAAUCGGAAUUACUGGGCGUAAAGCGCGCGUAGGUGGCUUGAUAAGCCGGUUGUGAAAGCCCCGGGCUCAACCUGGGAACGGCAUCCGGAACUGUCAAGCUAGAGUGCAGGAGAGGAAGGUAGAAUUCCCGGUGUAGCGGUGAAAUGCGUAGAGAUCGGGAGGAAUACCAGUGGCGAAGGCGGCCUUCUGGACUGACACUGACACUGAGGUGCGAAAGCGUGGGUAGCAAACAGGAUUAGAUACCCUUGUAGUC